rnacentral:rRNA from 1 species
AUUGAACGCUGGCGGCAGGCUUAACACAUGCAAGUCGAGCGAGCGGCGGACGGGUGAGUAAUGUCUGGGAAACUGCAUGAUGGAGGGGGAUAACUACUGGAAACGGUAGCUAAUACCGCAUACAAUCAGAUGUGCCCAGAUGGGAUUAGCUAGUGGGUGGGGUAAUGGUUCACCUAGGCGACGAUCCCUAGCUGGUCUGGGAGGAUGACCACCCAGACUGGAACUUGUACACGGUCCAGACUCCUACGCGAGGCAGCAGUGGUGAAUCUUUCGCAAUGUGCGCAAGCCUGAUGCAGCCAUGCCGCGUGUGUGAUGAAGGCCUUCGGGUUGUAAAGCACUUUCAGCGAGGAGGCGUUACUCGCAGAAUAAGCACCGGCUAACUCCGUGCCAGCAGCCGCGGUAAUAC